rnacentral:lncRNA from 1 species
GUUCACUCCCAGGUCGUUUUCCCUUUCAGCUGCAAUGCCGGGAUUUUAAAUAGCAGAGAUGAAAGGCCCCUGCCCCCGCCUCCCUCCUCCCCUGAGUUCAUGUAUUAUGAAUGAAACGGCAGCCUCGCUGCUUCCUGAGGUGCUCCACUUCAGGCUGGGGUGCAAUGGCUCGAUCUCGGCUCAGUGCAACCUCUGCUUCCCGGGUUCAAGUGAUUCUCCUGCGUCAGCCUCCCAAGCAGCUGUGAAUACAGGUUGGAGUGCAGUGGUGCUGUGUCUGGAGUUUGUUCCUGCCGUUGGGUUUGUGGUCUUGCUGACUUCAAGAAUGAAGCCACGGACCUUCACGUCCAUCGCCUUGGCUUAGUGCAUGUCACCAAAAAUUCUCCAGGAAUUUCAUAGUUUGGACCUUGGUGGCAUGGCUGGCCCGGGAUUAUCCAUGCAGGGAGGCCUGAUCCUGUGACAGCUGGCUGCAGCAGGGGGCUGCCCAUCUUCUGUGCUUUGUGGUACAUAUCUGUGUCACCAAAGUAGCGGCCUCGGUACAGCAAGCCUUUCGUCUGCUGCUUCUCCGUCCAGCAGUUGUUCCAGAGGUUGGCGAUAUAAUCAUCUUUCACAUUCGGUUUGACUGUUUGGAGGCUGGAGCCUGUGUACUCCUCGGAGAAAAUGCCUGCCACAUAGUAGAUGACACUCAGGUGGUCAGUGACUCGCCUGUGAUGUGGCCCACAAACAGUCUUGGGCUCAAACUGUAGGGUGGACUGGAGACCAUGAGCUGGCUGAGAGCUGACAUGAGGAUGAGGAUGGGUAUCAGCUGCACAAACACCCGCAAGCUGCCGUCACUCCGCUUCUCCCUGCGGCCCUGCCUUUGCUGAUACACACACAGGCACAUUGGAAACGCAGUAGAAAAUGGCUGCCAAUUUAAAACCAGAAGUUAAGAAGAGCAAACUCGAAUGUACAGCAAGAGAGCUUCAGGCUGGACUGGCUUCCAGCAGAAGUGGGACUGGAAACCUCGGAUUCUAUUGUCUCUUCUCUGUGAAGUGGGAAAACAUGUCAGUAUCUGAACUUGAGCUUGGUAAUUACUGCUCAUUUCUCAACCUUUUCCAAGCCACGUAACUCCCCUAAGGCUUAGUUUUCUUAUCUGUGAAUUGCGAGAUGGUAUGUUCUUCAUCACGAGGUUGCUAUAAAGACUGAAUGAGAUAAUGUGUGUGGAAGCACCAAGCAUGGUCCUUGGCAUGCAGUAGGUGCUCAAUAAAUAUGAACUGGAGUACACAUGCA